rnacentral:rRNA from 1 species
AUUGAACGCUGGCGGCAUGCUUUACACAUGCAAGUCGAACGGUAACAGGCCGCAAGGUGCUGACGAGUGGCGAACGGGUGAGUAAUGCAUCGGAACGUGCCCAGUGGUGGGGGGUAACAACUCGAAAGAGUAGCUAUAACCCCACACGAUUUAUGGUGGAAAGCGGGGGACCUCAUGGCCCCGCGCGAUUGGAGCGGCGGAUGUCAGAUUAGGUAGUUGGUGGGGUAAAGGCUCACCAAGCCAACGAUCUGUAGCUGGUCUGAGAGGACGACCAGCCACACUGGGACUGAGACACGGCCCAGACUCCUACGGGAGGCAGCAGUGGGGAAUUUUGGACAAUGGGCACAAGCCUGAUCCAGCAAUGCCGCGUGCAGGAAGAAGGCCUUCGGGUUGUAAACUGCUUUUGUACGGAACGAAACGGCUCUGGUUAAUACCCGGGGCUAAUGACGGUACCGUAAGAAUAAGCACCGGCUAACUACGUG